AGAAAGGGCGCGCGUUGCCCUUCACGGGAACCAUCGUUCCCACUGGUGACUCUGGAUAACUUUGUGAUCGCAUGGCCUUACGUGCCGGCGACGCAUUAGGACAAUGUCUGCCCUAUCAAAUGUCGAUGGUACGUGACUUCUGGCGCUUGUUUGUAACGGGUAACGGGGAAUCAGGGUUCGAUGCCGCUCGAGCAUGAGAAACGGCUACCGGCUCCAAGGAAGGCAUCAGGUUUUCAACUUACCCCG
rnacentral:rRNA from 1 species